AAAUUUGAAGUUCUAUGGAAUAAUUCAUUUACGCUGAAUAGGUGAGAAUUUCUCCAAAUUUA
rnacentral:tRNA from 1 species